AUGACAGCAAGACAGGGAGACUACCAGUCUAUGGCUAAUGCAUCUGGAGAAGAGAAAGUUGUUUUGGGGAGGAAGUUCUUCCCCAUUGUGGCAGGAAAAACAAAUGGAGCUCACCAAAAACUCAUCAAUGAUCUAAGAAGUCUCGACCAAGUAGAAGUCUACUCUGCUGCUGAUGCCGACUACCUGAUGAUUUUCUGUCCAAUCGCUUCAAGAGUUGAGACUGACAUCAGCCAGGCGCUCAGCGACGUUCCAGCGAACAAAGAUAUAAUUCUGGUGGCGAUGCACCACAUCUUUAAUCCUGAUCAUGUCAUACCUGAAAGCAAGAAACACGUGCACAACCCAAACGUCAUCCUCGCCGUGGAUUGUCUGUUCCAUGAUGGAAAACUCCUCCUUGCUAGACGCAACGAUAAUUCUUGGUACGACAUCACAAAAGUUCUUGGAAUGCCCCAUUCCCAGAUCUCUUGGUUCAAAAAGUGCAGGUCACUCAUUAUUGGAAGAGCUGUUCUUGUUGUUGUUCUUGUUGUUGUUGUUUUGUUGGGUGCCACUCUGCUGGGCCUUCGGCUUGCCCGAAAGUUGUAA
rnacentral:lncRNA from 1 species